AGAGUUUGAUCCUGGCUCAGAGUAAACGCUGGCGGCGUGCUUAACACAUGCAAGUCGAGCGAGAAAGUCCCUUCGGGGAUAAGUACAGCGGCAGACGGGUGAGUAACGCGUGAGAAUCUGCCCUUUAGUGAGGAAUACCUCAGAGAAAUCUGAGUUAAUACUGCAUAAGUCCCUUCGGGGAGAAAGCUGGCCUCUUUGCU
rnacentral:rRNA from 1 species